rnacentral:rRNA from 2 species
GUCACUUACAGAUGGACCCGCGGCGCAUUAGCUAGUUGGUGAGGUAACGGCUCACCAAGGCGACGAUGCGUAGCCGACCUGAGAGGGUGAUCGGCCACACUGGGACUGAGACACGGCCCAGACUCCUACGGGAGGCAGCAGUAGGGAAUCUUCCGCAAUGGACGAAAGUCUGACGGAGCAACGCCGCGUGAGUGAUGAAGGUUUUCGGAUCGUAAAGCUCUGUUGUUAGGGAAGAACAAGUGCAAGAGUAACUGCUUGCACCUUGACGGUACCUAACCAGAAAGCCACGGCUAACUACGUGCCAGCAGCCGCGGUAAUACGUAGGUGGCAAGCGUUGUCCGGAAUUAUUGGGCGUAAAGGGCUCGCAGGCGGUUUCUUAAGUCUGAUGUGAAAGCCCCCGGCUCAACCGGGGAGGGUCAUUGGAAACUGGGAAACUUGAGUGCAGAAGAGGAGAGUGGAAUUCCACGUGUAGCGGUGAAAUGCGUAGAGAUGUGGAGGAACACCAGUGGCGAAGGCGACUCUCUGGUCUGUAACUGACGCUGAGGAGCGAAAGCGUGGGGAGCGAACAGGAUUAGAUACCCUGGUAGUCCACGCCGUWAACGAUGAGUGCUAAGUGUUAGGGGGUUUCCGCCCCUUAGUGCUGCAGCUAACGCAUUAAGCACUCCGCCUGGGGAGUACGGUCGCAAGACUGAAACUCAAAGGAAUUGACGGGGGCCCGCACAAGCGGUGGAGCAUGUGGUUUAAUUCGAAGCAACGCGAAGAACCUUACCAGGUCUUGACAUCCUCUGACAACCCUAGAGAUAGGGCUUUCCCUUCGGGGACAGAGUGACAGGUGGUGCAUGGUUGUCGUCAGCUCGUGUCGUGAGAUGUUGGGUUAAGUCCCGCAACGAGCGCAACCCUUGAUCUUAGUUGCCAGCAUUCAGUUGGGCACUCUAAGGUGACUGCCGGUGACAAACCGGAGGAAGGUGGGGAUGACGUCAAAUCAUCAUGCCCCUUAUGACCUGGGCUACACACGUGCUACAAUGGACAGAACAAAGGGCUGCGAGACCGCAAGGUUUAGCCAAUCCCACAAAUCUGUUCUCAGUUCGGAUCGCAGUCUGCAACUCGACUGC